rnacentral:rRNA from 1 species
GAUUUCUGGCUUGGUGCGCGCCGUCCGCUUCCGUUAGGGAGUGUGUGCGGUUGUGCGCCUGCCAUCAUUUUAGACAUUAUGCUGUGCCCUUCACUGGGUGGCAGGUAGUGGCUGAAUCUUUUACUUUGAAAAAAUUAGAGUGUUCAAAGCAGGCUUGCGCUAUGAAUACAUUAGCAUGGAAUAAUAAUUUAGGACUACUGUUCUAUUUUGUUGGUUUCUAGGACGGAAGUAAUGAUUGAUAGGGAUAGUUGGGGGUGCUAGUAUUCAGAGGCCAGAGGUGAAAUUCUCGGAUUCUCUGAAGACUAACUUAUGCGAAAGCAUU